rnacentral:sRNA from 1 species
UGAAGGGAGGACUGAGCUCUCAAGACAGCAACUAGAGCAGCCCAUAGUAAUGUGGAAUUAUCAACUUUAUGAAGAGUAAAGCUUUAAUUCAGUGAAUUCUGUCUUGAAAAGUUAGUAAAGCCUUUUAGGAAACAUUUGACAGGAUACUGCUGAAACCGGUGGAGGAGAGGGAAGGAAAGAAGAGGAAAAGAGAGGGAAGAAAGAGAACAAGCUACGUAUUUAACAUCUUUUAAAGCACGAAACGGCAUGAUUACAUAAUGCAGUGAGAUCAGCAGAUUUCGCCCUUGCCUCCACACAGUGCUUAAUUUCACGUUAUAUAUGGAAACCCUCCAAGAGGAAAGCGGAAUCACUCGAUUUGAAGUUAUUUAGGAAAAUAGAGAACAUAAGUAAAUAGUUGAAAACUUUAAAGAGAGCACCUCCCACAGCCCAUUUAGCAGAAGAGGUUGUGGUGAUGAGCUUCCAUAGCUUUUCUCUCCUCUUGGCUGCCAUGUUAGCACUGUGUCUUCUGUAUUAAAUGUGUUGAAGUCAUGCAAUAUGGACACACUAUCCUAACAAAAUAAAUAAAAGCAGAAGUUGUAACUUAUGUUUAAUCGUUGUGUUGUGUGUUGUACUAAACAUAGCUGAUUUCACUUGCCCAUCCAAGGGAGCUUGGGAAGAAAUAGAUUCUGUUGUUGUCGGAUGAGAUACUGUGUAACUAUUCACCCAGGCCGUUUCACUGUGUCCUUCCUAGAUGCCUAUCUGUAUGUGUCUAAAACAGAAGAGUAGUGAGGACCUAAUUAAUCUCCCUCCUUAUGAUUUGCUCAUGCCUGCCUCACAGACAGGGACGCUGCUGUAAGACACAUAAAGAGGCCUGGGUUUUCUUAGAAAACUGACAUUUUCAUAGGCAGUGUUGCUCUUAAUCUCUGGUAAACUCCUAGUCUGUUCUACUCGGAGGAUAAUGCUGGAACUCUGACUUCCUCAGGAUCUUUCCCCAACUUUCUAAAUCUAUAUGCUUAUCGAUAAAAUGAAGGUAAAUUUCUCAUCAACAAGGUCUACCUACGUCCUGUAUCUUAGUCUUUGUUACUGUUUGUCUUUUCAUUGAUUCUCUCUUUCUUGCCCUCUCUAAUUUCAAUUCCCCGUUAUUAGAUUCUGUUUUCUUACUCUAUUAAUAGACAUCUUUUAAAACAAAAAAAGUGAAGGGUUACUCUGAUCAGUUUUUCCCCCUAACCUCACAGUAAUAUUAUCAACUAAUCUAAGUCCUCUAUUAAAUAACACAGUGACUACAUGAUCUAAUGGAGUCAGCAGAAUGUUUUCUGCUAUAGCACAGUGUCCUGUGUUGCCAUCCUGCUAUCCUGGCACUUGGGAGAGUGCAACAGGGUGAUUAGGAGUUUGAUGGUAACCUGGGCUAUCUGGUUAGACCUUAGGGUUGGGAUGCAACUCAGUAGUAGAGCAUUUGUCUGACACACAUACAAUCAUGCGUUAAACCCAGCAUUGUAAACAAAUAAAAUAAGGAAACUAGUCUGUUCCCCAGGCAGGUCAGGCUCUGCCUUGUAGACAGUUUCCAGUGCUCCCUCCCAUCCCUUAGACUUUACCAUUUAUAAAUUACAAUCUUCUU